rnacentral:rRNA from 1 species
AGAGUUUGAUCCUGGCUCAGAUUGAACGCUGGCGGAACGCUUUACACAUGCAAGUCGAACGGUAACGUGGGGAGGAGCUUGCUCCACCCCGACGACGAGUGGCGAACGGGUGAGUAAUACAUCGGAACGUGUCCGCUCGUGGGGGACAACCAGCCGAAAGGUUGGCUAAUACCGCAUGAGUUCUACGGAAGAAAGAGGGGGACCCGCAAGGGCCUCUCGCGAGCGGAGCGGCCGAUGACUGAUUAGCCGGUUGGUGAGGUAACGGCUCACCAAAGCAACGAUCAGUAGCUGGUCUGAGAGGACGACCAGCCACACUGGGACUGAGACACGGCCCAGACUCCUACGGGAGGCAGCAGUGGGGAAUUUUGGACAAUGGGCGCAAGCCUGAUCCAGCUAUUCCGCGUGUGGGAUGAAGGCCCUCGGGUUGUAAACCACUUUUGUAGAGAACGAAAAGACAUCUUCGAAUAAAGGAUGUUGCUGACGGUACUCUAAGAAUAAGCACCGGCUAACUACGUGCCAGCAGCCGCGGUAAUACGUAGGGUGCGAGCGUUAAUCGGAAUUACUGGGCGUAAAGGGUGCGCAGGCGGUUGAGUAAGACAGAUGUGAAAUCCCCGAGCUUAACUCGGGAAUGGCAUAUGUGACUGCUCGACUAGAGUGUGUCAGAGGGAGGUGGAAUUCCACGUGUAGCAGUGAAAUGCGUAGAUAUGUGGAAGAACACCGAUGGCGAAGGCAGCCUCCUGGGACAUAACUGACGCUCAGGCACGAAAGCGUGGGGAGCAAACAGGAUUAGAUACCCUGGUAGUCCACGCCCUAAACGAUGUUAACUAGUUGUUGGGAUGUAACAAUCUCAGUAACGCAGCCAACGCGAGAAGUUAACCGCCUGGGAAGUACGGUCGCAAGACUAAAACUCAAAGGAAUUGACGGGGACCCGCACAAGCGGUGGAUGAUGUGGAUUAAUUCGAUGCAACGCGAAAAACCUUACCUACCCUUGACAUGUCAGGAAGCUCUUGUAAUGAGAGCGUGCCCGCAAGGGAGCCUGAACACAGG